rnacentral:rRNA from 1 species
AGUGAACGCUGGCGGUAGGCCUAACACAUGCAAGUCGAACGGCAGCACAGUAAGAGCUUGCUCUUACGGGUGGCGAGUGGCGGACGGGUGAGGAAUACAUCGGAAUCUACUUUUUCGUGGGGGAUAACGUAGGGAAACUUACGCUAAUACCGCAUACGACCUACGGGUGAAAGCAGGGGAUCUUCGGACCUUGCGCGAUUGAAUGAGCCGAUGUCGGAUUAGCUAGUUGGCGGGGUAAAGGCCCACCAAGGCGACGAUCCGUAGCUGGUCUGAGAGGAUGGUCAGCCACACUGGAACUGAGACACGGUCCAGACUCCUACGGGAGGCAGCAGUGGGGAAUAUUGGACAAUGGGCGCAAGCCUGAUCCAGCCAUACCGCGUGGGUGAAGAAGGCCCUCGGGUUGUAAAGCCCUUUUGUUGGGAAAGAAAAGCAGCAGGUUAAUACCCCGCUGUUCUGACGGUACCCAAAGAAUAAGCACCGGCUAACUUCGUG